CCGUAGCUCAGUUGGAUAGAGCGCUGCCCUCCGAAGGCAGAGGUCACAGGUUCGAAUCCUGUCGGGU
rnacentral:tRNA from 1 species